AGCGAACGCUGGCGGCAGGCCUAACACAUGCAAGUCGAACGAAGUCUUCGGACUUAGUGGCGGACGGGUGAGUAACACGUGGGAACGUGCCCUUUGGUACGGAAUAACACAGGGAAACUUGAGCUAAUACCGUAUGUGCCCUUCGGGGGAAAGAUUUAUCGCCAUUGGAGCGGCCCGCGUCUGAUUAGCUAGUUGGUGAGGUAAAGGCUCACCAAGGCGACGAUCAGUAGCUGGUCUGAGAGGAUGAUCAGCCACAUUGGGACUGAGACACGGCCCAAACUCCUACGGGAGGCAGCAGUGGGGAAUCUUGCGCAAUGGGCGAAAGCCUGACGCAGCCAUGCCGCGUGAAUGAUGAAGGUCUUAGGAUUGUAAAAUUCUUUCACCGGGGACGAUAAUGACGGUACCCGGACAAGAAGCCCCGGCUAACUUCGUGCCAGCAGCCGCGGUAACAC
rnacentral:rRNA from 1 species